ACGCUGAAGGCAUCUAAGCGUGAAGCCCCCCUCAAGAUGAGAUAUCCCAUUCUUAUGAAGUAAACCCCCUUGAAGACGACGAGGUAGAUAGGGCAGAGGUGGAAGUGUGGUAACACAUGGAGCUGACUGUUACUAAUCGGGUGAGGGCUUGACCAAAA
rnacentral:rRNA from 1 species